GGAAGACGGAGGUUGAACGAAGGGGGCUGAGAUGCCAGGAGGAAAAGGAAAAGCAGGGAAAUGAGCUGGAGGGGGCGAGGGACCCAGGAAGAGACUGGGCCUGCGCGCCUGAUGAAGAAGCCAGAAAGUAAGGAACCUCAGGAGGAGACCUGAAAACACCAGGCGCCUGGGAAAUCUAACCCCAACCUCUGUAGGAAAUGGAGUCCUGGCCACAGAAAGAGUUAAAUGGAAAAGUCAGAUAAAAACAAAAAGAUUGCAAGCAUGACUUCUACAUGGAACAUGCCAGCAAGG
rnacentral:lncRNA from 1 species